AUACGGAGGGGGUUAGCGUUGUUCGGAAUUACUGGGCGUAAAGCGCACGUAGGCGGAUUGGAAAGUUGGGGGUGAAAUCCCAGGGCUCAACCCUGGAACUGCCUCCAAAACUAACAGUCUAGAGUUCGAGAGAGGUGAGUGGAAUUCCAAGUGUAGAGGUGAAAUUCGUAGAUAUUUGGAGGAACACCAGUGGCGAAGGCGGCUCACUGGCUCGAUACUGACGCUGAGGUGCGAAAGCGAGGGGAGCAUACAGGAUUAGAAACCCGGGUAGUCC
rnacentral:rRNA from 1 species